rnacentral:rRNA from 1 species
CCCUUAGAUGUUCUGGGCCCACGCGCGCUACACUGAUGCAUUCAACGAGCCUAUCCUUGACCGACAGGUCCGGGUAAUCUUUGAAUCUGCAUCGUGACGGGGAUAGAUUAUUGCAAUUAUUAAUCUUCAACGAGGAAUGCCUAGUAGGCGCAAGUCAUCAGCUUGCGUCGAUUACGUCCCUGCCCUUUGUACACACCGCCCGUCGCUCCUACCGAUUGGGUGUGCUGGUGAAAUGUUCGGAUCGGCCGUUUGUCGCGGUUUCCGCGUCAUGUGGCUGAGAAGUUCAUUAAACCCUCCCACCUAGAGGAAGGAGAAGUCGUAACA